GGAAAUUGUAGAAAUCAAGCAACGCAGUUUGGCAGAAGAGAACCAGAAAGCACUUGAGGUUUUAAAAGAAAGGGAGCAAUUACUACAGGAUCAAUUACGACAAGCUCAAGAAAGUGUUUCUACCAUGCAAAAGUUGCAUGAACUUGCACAAAGCCAGUUGUUUGAAGUUCGUGCGCAAUCAGAGGAAGAGAGAGCCGCAAAGCAAUCGGAAUUCAAUCUCCUAAUGGAUGAAGUUGAACGGGCUCA
rnacentral:misc_RNA from 1 species